GAUGAGCGCUGGCGGCGUGCCUAACACAUGCAAGUCGAACGAGAACCCAUUCUUCGGAUUGGGGGACAGUGGCGAACGGGUGCGUAACACGUUGGUGACCUGCCCCGAAGCGGGGGACAACCACGGGAAACUGUGGCUAAUACCGCAUGUGCUUCAGAGGGUUAGAGGACUCUGGAGUAAAGCUCCGGCGCUUCGGGAGGGGCCUGCGGCCUAUCAGCUAGUUGGUGGGGUAAUGGCCUACCAAGGCUAAGACGGGUAGGGGGCGUGAGAGCGUGACCCCCCACAAUGGAACUGAGACACGGUCCAUACUCCUACGGGAGGCAGCAGUGAGGAAUAUUGCGCAAUGGGGGCAACCCUGACGCAGCAACGCCGCGUGGGUGAUGAAGGCCUUCGGGUCGUGAAACCCUUUUCUGGGGGAAGAGAAAGGACGGUACCUCAGGAAUAAGUCCCGGCUAACUACGUG
rnacentral:rRNA from 1 species